GCGUAGGAACCUGCUCCUGAGUGGGGAAUAACCUGGCGAAAGCCGGGCUAAUACCGCAUGAUGUCACGGACUCAUUAGAGACUGUGACCAAAGGUGGCGAACUUCGAGUGCUAUCGCUCGGGAAGGGGCCUGCGUCCCAUUAGCUUGUUGGUGGGGUAAUGGCCUACCAAGGCGACGAUGGGUAGCCGGGCUGAGAGGCUGUCCGGCCACACUGGAACUGAGACACGGUCCAGACUCCUACGGGAGGCAGCAGUGGGGAAUAUUGCGCAAUGGGGGAAACCCUGACGCAGCGACGCCGCG
rnacentral:rRNA from 1 species